CUUCUGUCUCUCUCCCUCUCAGCCUCUUAUCGCUAUCCCCUCUUUGUUUACUGGACAAGAUUUGUGUUCUAAAGUCUGGUCGUAGCUCUCAGUGUUCUCUAUCGCAAGUUCAUUCGCUUGUGAUAUCUCAUAUCAAUUCUCUAUCGAUAACAUGAAGCAAAAGAUCGCCCUGAAGGUGCACAUGCAAUGUGUCAAGUGCAAGAGCAAGGCACUUCAGGUCGCCGCUAAAUCAACUGGGGUGAGCUUCGUUGGAUUUGAAGGAGAGAAGAUAGUGGUGAAGGGAGAUGGAGUGGAUGCAGUGGAAUUGGCCAUUGCCUUGAGGAAGAAGGUUGGUCAAACUGAGAUAGUCAGCAUACAAGAAGACAAGUGAAGUGCAGGCAGCACGAUGCUGAAUGCUUUUUAUUACUAAGAAUUUAAUAUAUUUUUCACUAACCUAAGUUGAUUCAAGUAGUUCGACGUCUGUCUUCUUAAGCAAAGUCUCGAAUUCGAGUUUUAUAAUGGAGAAAAUCCACGCUGAAAGAUCUUUUACUUUUAGUGGACCAUCCAAAAGAAUUUAAUAUACUUUUUGCUUUUGUUAUUGAGCUAGAAUAGCUAGAUUAAUCUCUUUCUCUCUUUACGGUUUUUGUAAUUUCAAAACUUUAUUCAUUUUUGUACAUGAUAGUUAAUAUUAUAACGUACCAAUUUCUUCC